GACAAUGUCCCUUCGGCGGUACCUGCAGACUCCAGGAGUCGAGGCUGGGUGCGGGGCCGCCGGGACGGCUGCAGCAGCGGAUCCUUCUGAUGGUACGGGCAACGUCCUCGAAGCUCGGCUGGGGCGUCGUACUUCUGGCGGCGGCGGGCAAGCAGUAGCCCUUAGCGGUCUAGGCCGGGCAGAGGCUGGACGGAGGGGCAGGAAGCGGGCAAGGGCUGCAGAGGGGCCGCGGUUCUCGAGUCCUCUCGCGGCGGUGUUCUGGGACUGAGGAGACGGGGUCUAGGGCGGUACCACCAGUAGCGGAGAAGCAGAGAUAGACAGGAAGCGGUCUAGGUGCGACCACAGGAGCUCCCUGGGCAGUACCUCCAACAGCGGAGAGGGUAGAGCUAGGCGGGCGGCGGCCUAGGUGCUGCCUCGCCGGCUCUAGGCGGCGGGCAAGGCGUUGCGGAGCCGGGCGUCCUUCCGGUUCCCGGAGCGGUUCGUCGUCCUCCUGAACGGCCGAUCCGAGCGGACGGCGUCCGCGCGGGCGCUCGAGUGAGGGCACGGGCGGCGCGAGAGUUUGCGUGCGGCCUGCAGUCCCCGAAAAAACGGUUUUGCCUUACAAUAGAGUUCUUGUGUGACUUUUAUCCUGACGCCCAACUGAAGUUUCUUUAUCUCCCUGAAAAAACGUUUUUGCGUCUGCUGCAUGCUGGUCUUCG
rnacentral:rRNA from 1 species